CAUCAACAUUUGCUGCUUUCCUC
rnacentral:miRNA from 1 species